UUAAUGUCCAGGAGAGUGGCCCUCCGCAUGGAGGGUUGACUAGAGAUUUAUCGGUAUGGGACGAGCUUGCGUCCGAUUAGCUAGUUGGCGGGGCAACGGCCACCAAGGCGACGAUCGGUAGCCGGCCUGAGAGGGUGAUCGGCCACAUUGGGACUGAGAUACGGCCCAGACUCCUACGGGAGGCAGCAGUAGGGAAUAUUGCACAAUGGGGGAAACCCUGAUGCAGCAACGCCACGUGUGGGAAGAAGCAUUUCGGUGUGUAAACCACUGUCAUGAGGGAAUAAGGCCCGCCUCCGGGCGGGAUUGAAUGUACCUUGAGAGGAAGCACCGGCUAACUUCGUGCCAGCAGCCGCGGUAAUACGAGGGGNGCAAGCGUUGNUCGGAAUUACUGGGCGUAAAGGGAGCGUAGGCGGAGAUUCAAGCGGAUUGUACAAUCCCGGGGCCCAUCCCCGGCUCUGCAGUCCNAACUGGAUCUCUUGGAUAGUUCAGGGGCAGGCGGAAUUCCUGG
rnacentral:rRNA from 1 species